AGUAAUGAAUUGCUUUGAUGAAGCAUUAAGCUGACUGUACUUUACCCAUUAGUCUGCAUAAUCUUCUAGCUAAUGACUCCAUUGUAUGUUUAUCUCGAACAGACUCCAAAUUGGAGAAAGAUUCCACAAAAGCUAAGGAUAAGCCAAUAAUAAACACUGCAAAGAAGAAAGCGGAUAAAGGGACCAAAAUGGACAAAGAAACCACAAAAUUAAGAGAUGAACUGGCAAAGAAAACUUCAAAGAAGAUGACAGAUGACACAAAACUGGACAAAGAUGCUGCAAAAGUGAAGGGCAAAUUGGCAAAGAACGCUUUGAAGAAAAAGGCAGACAAAG